UGGGGAAUCUUGCGCAAUGGGGGAAACCCUGACGCAGCGACGCCGCGUGCGGGAUGAAGGCCUUCGGGUUGUAAACCGCUUUCAGCAGGGACGAGGCCUUAUGGUGACGGUACCUGCAGAAGAAGCUCCGGCUAAAUACGUGCCAGCAGCCGCGGUAAUACGUAUGGAGCAAGCGUUAUCCGGAUUCAUUGGGCGUAAAGCGCUCGUAGGCGGUCUGUUAGGUCGGCAAGUUAAAUCCGGGGGCUCAACCCCCGUCCGCUUCCGAUACCGGCAGACUUGAGUUUGGUAGGGGAAGGUGGAAUUCCUAGUGUAGCGGUGGAAUGCGCAGAUAUUAGGAAGAACACCGGUGGCGAAGGCGGCCUUCUGGGCCAUAACUGACGCUGAGGAGCGAAAGCUAGGGGAGCAAACAGG
rnacentral:rRNA from 1 species